CGCAUCACUCCAUAAAGACCGCCAAUCCACAGGUUCUUUAUACCCAUUUUACCUCUUUGACAGUUAAAAGACUUCAACAUAUUUACAAUGCCUUCAAUACUGAGUCUUGUACACGCAGGAACAAAUAGCUUUGUCAAAUGUGGAUUAGAGUCAAGAACCCGCCUCAAACCGUCAUCUGUGAUGCGGGUGCACUCUAACAAACUCAAGCAUUGUAAGUUACCUUGAGCCCUGCUAGUCAAUUGCAAAAGGAUAUCAUCGCUGAUCUCAGUCAAUGGAUUUUCAAUGUGAAUGCUUUUCCACAAUAAAGGAUCGGUUUUUACAGUAAGCCGCAAGGACCUACAAACACUUUCUACUGUCAAAAGAUCCUUCACUCCAAGGUAACCAAGAGCAAAAGAUAAAGCCUCAUGAGGGGCUCCUUCAUCUUUACCAGAGCAAGACGUCGCCCCAGACCCUGUUCCCAUGGUCAGGGGAAAAAAACUGACUGAACCUACAUUAUUUAAGCCUGCAGUGUCCCCCACAUUGCAAGCUGAGCCAAGACCAACAUGGGCCAAGGCGUCCCUCAUAUCUCUCUCCCCAAUAAGCAAACUCACUGGCUCACCUCUAUUCAGUUUGUCAUCAGACUGAACGUGAUUAAUAGGGAAUGAUUGGAACCUCAUAGAAUCGUUCCAUACAAAAUCAAAACCAGCAAUUAAACCACAGUCCUCAUUACUUGGACUGGCAUGGUUUCUCCUACAUCCUCCAUAAUCAACUUCCAAAUACUCAAGCCAACCCGUAAUGGCUGUGAUAGUGGUGCUUAUAUCCAUCCCAAAUGGAUCAGCAGGGAGAAGAUCAAUGAUAUCCUCCGAUACCGACUCCGAAUAAUCACACUUGUCUACUGUUUCCCUCCCAUAACCAUAUUCAAACCCGUCUCGCGGUUCUCGACAAACACGCCACGACCAAGCAAAAUUCUCCACAUUAUUCUCCGGAACACCCUCGACUAAACACCCAUUCACAAUUCUCAUGGGUGAUACCAAAUUAUCCUCAGAUAUAUGCGCCGGAAAUAUGGGCCGAUGCGAAAAAUUUAAUGCCAUAUAUGAUUUAGAUCAACUCUAACAACAGCCAAAAAGGAAUAAUCUAACACCUAAAAAUAGGAUUUUG
rnacentral:misc_RNA from 1 species